AGCCAGACUCCUACGGGAGGCAGCAGUGGGGAAUAUUGCACAAUGGGGGAAACCCUGAUGCAGCGACGCCGCGUGAAGGAUGAAGUAUUUCGGUAUGUAAACUUCUAUCAGCAGGGAAGAAAAUGACGGUACCUGACUAAGAAGCCCCGGCUAACUACGUGCCAGCAGCCGCGGUAAUACGUAGGGGGCAAGCGUUAUCCGGAUUUACUGGGUGUAAAGGGAGCGUAGACGGCAGUGCAAGUCUGAAGUGAAAGGCAAGGGCGCAACCCUUGGACUGCUUUGGAAACUGUGCUGCUGGAGUGUCGGAGAGGCAAGUGGAAUUCCUAGUGUAGCGGUGAAAUGCGUAGAUAUCAGGAGGAACACCGGCGGCGAAGGCGGCCUGCUGGACCGCGACUGACGUUGAGGCUCGAAAGCGUGGGGAGCGAACAGGAUUAGAUACCCCAGUAAAG
rnacentral:rRNA from 1 species